rnacentral:misc_RNA from 1 species
UACAGAGACUGCAAGCGUUAUUCGGAUUCACUGGGCGUGAAGGGUGCGCAGGCGGCCGUGUGUGUAAGGUGUGAAAUCCCGGGGCUCAACCCCGGAACUGCGCCUUAAACUACAUGGCUAGAGGAUUGGAGAGGGUAGUGGAAUUCACGGUGUAGCAGUGAAAUGCGUAGAUAUCGUGAGGAACACCAGAGGCGAAGGCGACUACCUGGACAAUUACUGACGCUCAGGCACGAAAGCGUGGGGAGCAAACAGG